AUUUACCCAGAGGGGUUUGCAGCAGCUUUCUUCACAAAGCCGGAACGUGGAGGCACCCGUGAUGCCCUCAGCAGGGACCAGUAGCCUGCCCUCAGCUAUGCAGAGACAUCAGUAACUGUUACACAGGCUAGCAACGUUUGUCCACAAUGUACCAAGAGGAAAAAAGAAAUGUCAAAACAGCACAUGUGGUGCAUUACUUUGGCCUUCUGCUACUGUACACAGUGUAGCACCUUUCUGGAGGACAGGAAGGAAUAAAGGAAUAAAUAAUGACUACUGAUAA